rnacentral:rRNA from 1 species
GCCCUAGUAACGGCGAGUGAAGCGGCAAGAGCUNNNNUGAAAGCUGGCCCCCUCGGGGUCCGCAUUGUAAUUUGCAGAGGAUGCUUCGGGAACGGCCCCCAUCUAAGUGCCCUGGAACGGGCCGUCAUAGAGGGUGAGAAUCCCGUCUGGGAUGGGGUGGCCGCGCCCGUGUGAAGCUCCUUCGACGAGUCGAGUUGUUUGGGAAUGCAGCUCUAAUUGGGUGGUAAAUUUCAUCUAAAGCUAAAUAUUGGCCGGAGACCGAUAGCGCACAAGUAGAGUGAUCGAAAGAUGAAAAGCACUUUGAAAAGAGAGUUAAACAGCACGUGAAAUUGUUGAAAGGGAAGCGCUUGCGACCAGACUCGCCCGCGGGGUUCAGCCGGCACUCGUGCCGGUGUACUUCCCCGCGGGCGGGCCAGCGUCGGUUUGGGCGGCCGGUCAAAGGCCUCUGGAAGGUAACGCCUCUCGGGGCGUCUUAUAGCCAGGGGUGCCAUGCGGCCUGCCCGGACCGAGGAACGCGCUUCGGCUCGGACGCUGGCAUAAUGGUCGUAAGCGACCCGUCUUGAAACACGGACCAAGGAGUCUAACAUCUACGCGAGUGUUCGGGUGUCAAACCCGUGCGCGCAGUGAAAGCGAACGGAGGUGGGAACCCCCCGGGGUGCACCAUCGACCGAUCCUGAUGUCUUCGGAUGGAUUUGAGUAAGAGCGUAGCUGUUGGGACCCGAAAGAUGGUGAACUAUGCCUGAAUAGGGCGAAGCCAGAGGAAACUCUGGUGGAGGCUCGCAGCGGUNCUGACGUGCAAAUCGAUCGUCAAAUUUGGGUAUAGGGGCGAAAGACUAAUCGANCCAUCUA